rnacentral:siRNA from 1 species
UAAACGACUAUUAAACUUAGUC